rnacentral:rRNA from 1 species
UACAGAGGGGGCAAGCGUUGUUCGGAAUUACUGGGCGUAAAGGGCUCGUAGGUGGCCAACUAAGUCAGACGUGAAAUCCCUCGGCUUAACCGGGGAACUGCGUCUGAUACUGGAUGGCUUGAGUUUGGGAGAGGGACGCGGAAUUCCAGGUGUAGCGGUGAAAUGCGCAGAUAUCGGGAGGAACACCAAUGGCGAAGGCAGCUCGCUGGGACGGUACUGACGCUGAGGCGCGAAAGCGUGGGGAGCAAACAGG